rnacentral:rRNA from 1 species
UACGUAGGGUGCGAGCGUUGUCCGGAAUUACUGGGCGUAAAGAGCUCGUAGGUGGUUUGUCGCGUUGUUCGUGAAAACUCACAGCUUAACUGUGGGCGUGCGGGCGAUACGGGCAGACUGGAGUACUGCAGGGGAGACUGGAAGUUCCUGGUGUAGCGGUGGAAUGCGCAGAUAUCAGGAGGAACACCGGUGGCGAAGGCGGGUCUCUGGGCAGUAACUGACGCUGGAGGAGCGAAAGCGUGGGGAGCGAACAGG